rnacentral:rRNA from 1 species
UAACCUGGUUGAUCCUGCCAGUUAGUCAUAUGCUUGUUUCAAGGAUUAAGCCAUGCAAGCCUAAGAGUAACUGAGACAAUAGGAGGUCUGCGAACGGCUCAUUAUAUCAGAAAUAAUCUACCGGGGAAAUUGCAGUGAAAACUGUCUAAUGGAUAACUUCGCUAACGCGAAGCUAAUACAUGUACGCCACGUG